GAUGAACGCUAGCGGCAGGCUUAACACAUGCAAGUCGAGGGGUAGAAGUUACUUGUAACUUUGAGACCGGCGCACGGGUGCGUAACGCGUAUGCAAUCUACCUUUUACAGAGGGAUAGCCCAGAGAAAUUUGGAUUAAUACCUCAUAGUAUCUUUGCCUGGCAUCAGGUGAUUAUUAAAGUUCCAACGGUAAAAGAUGAGCAUGCGUCCUAUUAGCUGGAUGGUAAGGUAACGGCUUACCAUGGCAACGAUAGGUAGGGGUCCUGAGAGGGGGAUCCCCCACACUGGAACUGAGACACGGACCAGACUCCCACGGGAGGCAGCAGUGAGGAAUAUUGGACAAUGGGCGCAAGCCUGAUCCAGCCAUGCCGCGUGCAGGAAGAAGCAUCUAUGGUGUGUAAACUGCUUUUGUACGGGAAGAAACACUCCCUCGUGAGGGAGCUUGACGGUACCGUAAGAAUAAGGAUCGGCUAACUCCGUGCCAGCCGCCGCUGUAAUAC
rnacentral:rRNA from 1 species